GUGGAGCUGGGCAAGCUUGCUUGCACAGAUUUACAGACAUUGGACGGGCAAACCAGUAUGAGCAAGUAGGUCGAAAGGCCGGAUUGCGAAUACUGGUGGGGAUUGUGAGAGCGCAAAUCGCGGAACAAUCCA
rnacentral:sRNA from 1 species